ensembl:scaRNA
UGGAAGUGAUGAAAUAGAGAUAAUUGGAUGUCUGUUUGAAUGGAGAGUGUGUGUGAUAAAUGGAAUUUAAUCCAAGGCAAGCUGGGGGUGGGGUGUGGGGAGUAUGUGUGUGUAUGCAUAUAUAGAAAAGGCUUUAAAUGGGGGCACUGAUAUUCCUGUGCUGAUUCCGGAGUGCAUCUGAGGCAUGUUGUUAAGUUUUGGGGUACCAAUUCACAACAUUGCCAAUGAUUAAAGCCCAAAACAAGCCCACCAGGACAAGCCUAGGCAUCCUAACUCUCUAACAGGUUCAUUAAUAAAAGUGAUCCUGUGAUCUGAUCUGA